UUCGAACAACAUAUCCUGCAGUUAAAGCAAUUGCAUUUUCAGAAAAUUCUGAAAGAACAAAAUAAUUUGGUGGCAUUUCCAACCCAAUGUCUAACAAAUCUUUUUGCAGUUCUUUUUCUCUGUCGAUAUCAAAAUUAGGUGUUCGUGUUGCAUGUAGUAUUGAAGUUUGGUCCAAUUCUUUGACAUUUCCACCAGAUGAUUUUUUUCUGUGAUGCAUAACCAAUUUUUUGUAAGCAUCACUGAAAUGCUUUGCUGUUGGAUUGACACACCAACCUCCACGAGCCCUUAUUGCAUUGAAAAACAAUUCCAAGUGAUCCUGAGACAAUUUAUAUGUUAACAAAUAUUUGAACUGCUCAGGAUUUUGAACUAUAACAUCUUCAAAUAUUUGUUUAACACUCAUGGAUGAUAUAAUAAUGCCCAAAAAUCCAGUUUUUUUAGGAUGUUCAAUCAUCAAUCCCUGUCCAUGACCCCAUGGCUUUUGGAUCCAUGGCCAUAGGGAUUUCUUGAGUUGAGUAUGUCCAAGGUGUAUUUAUCAGGUGUCGACACUCCGCUUAUCAAUUGAACGAAAAAUCUACACCAGUUGAGAUUGCCACCAUGAGCGCUAGCUACCCUCAGAGGGCCGAAAUCAAUGUGUAUGCUAUAUUUAUAAGUUUAUAACAUAGGUACCUACUACCUACAUUGGCCGAAAUUGAACUCACCAUUACACUAUAUUACCAGAGGUGUUCCCAAUAUUUUUUUGAGA